rnacentral:rRNA from 1 species
GAUGAACGCUGGCGGCGUGCCUAAUACAUGCAAGUCGAGCGAACGGACGAGAAGCUUGCUUUUCUGAUGUUAGCGGCGGACGGGUGAGUAACACGUGGAUCACCUACCUAUAAGACUUGGAUAACUUCGGGAAACCGGAGCUAAUACCGGAUAAUAUUUUGAACCGCAUGGUUCAAAAGUGAAAGACGGUCUUGCUGUCCCUUAUAGAUGGAUCCGCGCUGCAUUAGCUAGUUGGUAAGGUAACGGCUUACCAAGGCAACGAUGCAUAGCCGACCUGAGAGGGUGAUCGGCAACACUGGAACUGAGACACGGUCCAGACUCCUACGGGAGGCAGCAGUAGGGAAUCUUCCGCAAUGGGCGAAAGCCUGACGGAGCAACGCCGCGUGAGUGAUGAAGGUCUUCGGAUCGUAAAACUCUGUUAUUAGGGAAGAACAGAUGUGUAAGUAACUGUGCACAUCUUGACGGUACCUAAUCAGAAAGCCACGGCUAACUACGUG